rnacentral:snoRNA from 1 species
UCGAGUGAUGACUCUAUGACACGCUAAAGGCAUUCCUCAAUCUUAAUCACCAUGUGGAAUCUGUCGUUACAUUAAGUUUCAGCCUUGUCUGACU